ACCGUCAAUUCAUUUAAGUUUCAGCCUUGCGGCCGUAGUCCUCAGGCGGCACACUUAACGCGUUAGCUGGGGCCCUGGGGGGGUCGAAUCCGCCAAGACCUAGUGUGCACCGUUUAGGGCGUGGACUACAGGGGUAUCUAAUCCCUUUUGCUCCCCACGCUUUCGUGCCUGAGCGUCAGCAAUUGUCCAGGUAGCCGCCUUCGCCUCUGGUAUUCCUCAUGAUAUCUACGCAUUUCACUGCUACACCAUGAAUUCUGCUACCCUCUCCAAUGCUCUAGCCAUGUAGUUUGAGGUGCAAUUCCGGGGUUAAGCCCCGGGCUUUCACGCCUCACACACUUGGCCGCCUGCGCACCCUUUACGCCCAGUGAAUCCGAAUAACGCUUGCAGUCUCUGUAUUACC
rnacentral:misc_RNA from 1 species